CUUCAUGUUCCACUUUGAAACAUGUUUUCAUGUGUUCCACCAGUGCCUAAAUGUAGGGCCUGGUUGCUCAGUGCUCCCAGAGGACGGACGUGCAGCUGUUUGACAAGCAGGCCCCUUGCUUCUGAGAAGAGCACUGGAAACUCUUGGUCCAUUCAUGGCACAGCCAAAUGCCAGAACUCUGAUCCGAGUGUUUGUGACACUGCUUUGGCCUGAGACCCUGUGGACCACCAGAGCAUUCAUAAUGAUUGAUACAGGUGCUGGACUUGGUAUUUGUUUACAUUAGCUGAACUUCCUGAGAUUCCUAUUCAUCCACUUCAAAGGGAAAUAUUCACCGUUCACCUUCAUUUCAAACAGCAAAAAUGACAAACAAUAAAGAAAAGAAACACCAAAAAAAGAGCAAAAUUGUUGUUCCUGCUCAAGGAGGAUUAAAAAGUAAACAAGGCAUAGAAACUUAUAAGGCUGCAUGUGUUCUCACCACAAUAUUGAGUGAUGGAUAUCAUCAGACAGGCUACCCUGGGCCCUGGGAAGGCCUCCAACAACAAGUAUGGCAUUUCUGGAUACCUCCAAGGAAACGUGUAAUGAGAUUGAAGGCUAUAGGAGUCCAGAGAUAUCAGCUGAGCUGUAGAUGUAGCCUAACUGUACAAAAAGUUCUCACAAUGUGCUGAAAGCAAUUUCUUAACACUGAAACUUAAAGUAAUUAAAAGGCAUUAUACUUGGUAAUCAAUAAUAGAGAAAAAUGAAAUUAUAAUGUAAAUAUAAAAGGCAUGAUUCUUUGUAAAGGACAGAAGACAAAAGAAGAAAGAAAAUGGGCAGACUUUAAAAAGCUAGAUCAUAGCCUUUGUACAGAAUGAAGGUCAAGGAAAAAAGAUUUCAAGAGAGUUAGCAAUUUUAGAAAGAAACGUGAGCUAUGCCUGUGCAGAAAGGAUGAGGAAACAACUUCACUAAAUCAUGUGGACUUGCUGGUACGAAGUCAGACAGUCUGGUACUGAGAAUGGGAAGAGUUUGUAUGUAUAGCACCAGGAGUGUAGAAACUAAAAUAUAAAUAGCAGAAGCAUAAAAUGAAACAAGAAGAUAUUUUAUGAGUACAUUAGUAUUAAGGUGAAGACCAAUAUUUAUUAUUAUUAUUGCUAGUGACAGGUAAUAGAAAGAUGGAGAGAGGCUGGUAUACAGCCUGUUAUGGCUCUUGCAUUGCGUGUGCUUUGACUAGGUGGUUAAUUUACACCAUUAACACCAGUGACAGGAAGAACAGUAGAGCAGACUGGUGGAAAAAAUGCAUUUGAAUUUUUGGAUGGGUUAGCAUCUUUACACUAAACGGACUUGAAACUUAUUCAAGAGUACUUCAACAACAAACAGAAACAAUAUUAGAGCUAUUAGCUACCAUUCUGUAAGCUUAUUCAGAAAGCAUGAUGUUCAAGAAAGGGCAAACAUAGUACUCGCCUUUGAAUGUAGUAAAAAAAAAAAAGAAAGAAAGAAAUUACAGACCAUUCAGCUCAACUUUAAUGUCUGUAAUAGUUGCAGACGAAAAAAUCAAAAUGCUUGGAAAAUAGCUAAAUGACAACUAACAUUCAGAAUAGAUUUGGGGUGUCACAUCAACUAAAUUUAUUUCCAUAAAGAAUAGCAGGCUUUGCAGAUAGAGGAAUUAAUCAGCAGACUUAGUAGUCUGGUUGGCUCUGCUAUUUCCCAUUCUCUAAAAAAACUUAGGCAAGACCUGUCUUGAAGAAGUUGCAAUGACAUGAAGAAAGGACUGGAGAAGUAAACACGAAAGUUCAUGGUCAAGAGAAAAAUAUUGAAAAGUAUGUCCUACGUGGAUUUUCAAUCAUCAGUUAUUAUUUCCAUUAAUGACACUAUUAAAAAUAUAUAUUUAAUUUAUGUGUAGAUUGUAAACCUCAGGCAGCUGGAAGAAGUAUGGUGGUCUGUGUUUAGAAUUCAGGACAACUGGCAAAUUGCAUACAUGUUCCAAAAAACAGUAAAGGUAUGACCUUACAUGGGCAAAUACGUGUCCAAGAAAGAACACAGAAAGUAGUCCAAGAUGGAAGAUUUGGAAAAGCUGAGAAAACUGGUUUAAGCAUAAACAACUAGGAAAACUCUGCAGUUACUGUUUGUGGUCAGGAUCCUCCUUUGAGGACUGCGUAACCAAUUUUGAUUGAUGCUCUGUUCCACAUGGAUAUGCUGAACUCCCAGCAGUGCUCACUUGUUCCUGGUGGAUCAGAUAGCAGACUUUGCUGUAAAUGGUUUUAUAGUGGGAAAAGAAAAAAAAUGGCCUUUCUGAUGUGCUUUACAUCAAUAAAUGUAAUUUUUACUUUCA
rnacentral:lncRNA from 1 species